GAUAUUUCGAGCUGCCAAAUUGGUAUCUGUAGCACCUAAAUAGAACUAAAGAGCUGGAUGAUAAUACGAGCUUCUCACUGAUCGUCCUAGGCUUUCUUCUCGCGUCGAGACAUCUUGAUCAAGAGUUCAUAUUAGUGGUAUAAGAUUUGGUAUAUAGUAUCUGGAUUGUUGGAUGAGGGUUCACAAGGUCCGCACUGUCAGCAGUAACAGUUCAUGUGACAAGUUUUACGAAGUUCCAUGGAGUUGCAAAAACUCCAACAAAGACGAUUGUGCGUAAUCUGAAAGAAUACAUGGAGAAGAAGGGCUUACCAAAAGGGUUGGCUCUAGAGAGCUGCAAUAUUCUCGAAACUGCAGGACAUGGGGUAGUUGCUCCUCUUCACCAGACGCUGCAAUCUGCCAUUAAUGGGAAUGAUUCAGCAUUGCCAAAUUCUAGGACAGUUAUUUGGAUUUGAGGGAGAUCGCGUCAGCUUUUGAAAACGGGUUCUUAUAUUAAGGAAGCACAUUUCUGGUUUAGCUAAUUGUCACUCACAUAGAGCGGGAGGUUGAGCAACUUCUUUGGAAAAAAAUCUGGUGGCAAACAAGAAGAAAGGAAAGCUCGAACCAUAUGGGUGUCA